GAUCCUGGCUCAAGGUGAACGCUAGCUACAGGCUUAACACAUGCAAGUCGAGGGGAAACGACAUCGAAAGCUUGCUUUUGAUGGGCGUCGACCGGCGCACGGGUGAGUAACGCGUAUCCAACCUGCCCAUCACUUGGGGAUAACCUUGCGAAAGUAAGACUAAUACCCAAUGACGUCUCUAGAAGACAUCUGAAAGAGAUUAAAGAUUUAUCGGUGAUGGAUGGGGAUGCGUCUGAUUAG
rnacentral:rRNA from 1 species